UCCUACGGGAGGCAGCAGUGAGGAAUAUUGGGCAAUGGAGGCAACUCUGACCCAGCCAUGCCGCGUGCAGGAAGACGGCCCUAUGGGUUGUAAACUGCUUUUAUACAGGAAGAACACCACCCACGUGUGGGUGACUGACGGUACUGUAAGAAUAAGGACCGGCUAACUCCGUGCCAGCAGCCGCGGUAAUACGGAGGGUCCAAGCGUUAUCCGGAAUCAUUGGGUUCAAAGGGUCCGUAGGCGGGCUAAUAAGUCAGAGGUGAAAGUUUGCAGCUCAACUGUAAAAUUGCCUUUGAUACUGUUAGUCUUGAGUUAUAGUGAAGUGGUUAGAAUAAGUGGUGUAGCGGUGAAAUGCAUAGAUAUCACUUAGAAUACCGAUUGCGAAGGCAGAUCACUAACUGUAUACUGACGCUGAGGGACGAAAGCAUGGGUAGCAAACGGGAUUAGAUACCCCGGUAGUCCAUGCUGUAAACGAUGGAUACUAGCUGUUGGCUUCGGUCAGUGGCUAAGCGAAAGUGAUAAGUAUCCCACCUGGGGAGUACGUUCGCAAGAAUGAAACUCAAAGGAAUUGACGGGGGCCCGCACAAGCGGUGGAGCAUGUGGUUUAAUUCGAUGAUACGCGAGGAACCUUACCAGGGCUUAAAUGGGAGAUGACAGGGGCAGAGACGCCUUUUUCUUCGGACAUCUUUCAAGGUGCUGCAUGGUUGUCGUCAGCUCGUGCCGUGAGUGUCAGUUAAGUCCUAUAACGAGCGCAACCCCUACCGUUAGUUGCCAGCGAUUCAAGUCGGGGACUCUAACGGGACUGCCGGUGCAAACCGUGAGAAGUGGGGACGACGUCAAUCAUCACGGCCCUUACGUCCUGGGCUACACCACGUG
rnacentral:rRNA from 1 species